AGUUUUAUAGUCAAAAAUGAUUUUAAAUUGCAAAUUUAAAGGAGGAUUUAAAAUUCCUAAGGCUU
rnacentral:tRNA from 1 species